UAAAACUGAAAAAAUUACAGAAUUUUUCUUUAACCUUGGAGCGAGGAAAAUUUAAUUCCUGAUUAUUUGAAUUCUCAAUUUGCUAAAAAAACGUGAUAAGUCUGAUAAUGUUAAAAUAAUGGGCAAGGCAAACACCAAAUGAUAAAGGAAAGAUAUUUGUAAUAUAAGAAUGCUAAAAUCCCCUAAUAUAGACAGAUCCUAAUACAGGGAAGGAAACUACCAAUAAAACUUAAGGAAAUUUUAUUUGAACAGAUAGUUCACAGAAGAAAUGGAAAUUGAUAUUAAUCAUAUGGAAAUAUUCUUGGAUUUGUGUGCACUAAGGAUAAUUAACAAUUAACAAUCCAAAGAGUAUUUAAUAAACUUCUCAACUGUCAGAUUUGCAGAAAUUCCAGAUGUGACAAUAUUCUCUUUGAGCAAGGUGAGAGGAGGGGAAUCUAGCAAAAUCAUAAUGUUGGUGGUAGUCUAAAAUAUAAAACUUCUGUGGAUAGGCAUUAAGUAUUUAGUACUUAAUUUGUGGCAAAUCCAUAGUACAUGGAUUGGUGAAUACAUGUAAGGUACUAUGGAAUAAUUUUUGGAAUAUAAGUAUAAAUAAGAUAGUGUUGGGAUAUAGGAAGUGAUAAUAGCAAAAUGAUGUUUUAAAAAAUAUUAAUUUAUUUGAGAGGGAGAGAACAUGAGCAGGGUAAGGGGUGGAGGGAGAACCAGACUCUUUGCUAAGUGAGGACCCUGAUUCAGGGCUCAAUUCCAAGAGUAGGGGUUCAUGACUUGAGCAGAAGGCAGAAGCUUAACUGACUGAGCCUCCCUGGCAUUCCAACUUUGAGGAUUUACAAAGUGUAUUUCUUCAAUGUUUUCAAAGGGAUGCUAGAAAGAACAUAUGAUGAAUAGUAAUAGGUAUCAUAGGACACCUCUCUUGUCUUCAAAUAUUGGGUUUACUUUCUACUUACACAUCAAACUGUCUCAUUCUUAAUGGGAACCAACAAAAUACCUAGGUAAAAGUCCAGUAUUUAUUUGUGAUCCGGGCACUGUGAUCAGGGGGGGAUUUUCACUAAUCUAUGUGCCAGGUCUUAACAUUACCUGCUCUUGGUAUGGAGACAUAAGAACUUUAAAAGAGAAGUUAUUUGUACCUCACUUCCCAGUGUUCAGUUACAGAGCAAGGAGGAGGCAACUAUAAUGAAAGCUCAAAACAAGGUGUACAAUGUGAGAUAUAUAUGCCCUAGGAAUAGAUUGUUAGCUGUUGUGAUACCUUGAAGGUGGAGAAUGUUUUAAAAGGUUUUGGUAGAUGCUUUCUUGUUCUAUGUUCUUCUUGACCCUAAUUCAGCCUUCUGACAUAUAUAUCAAUUCCUACUAUCCUGUUUAAUUAAUUUUAAGAUAGGCAGUGUAGGUUAUAUCCUCCAAAUGAGGCACAGUUUUCUACUCAGAAAUUUGGAACCUAAAGAUUAUUUUAAGUCUUAAUCACACGUUUUUUAGUCUCUUGGGCAGUAAAACUCUUUAAAAUUAUGUCAUGGGCAGAAGACCUGAUUAUCCUGUAUGUGAUUCUUCUUAAUGUCUUAUCUGUGGUGAUCAUAAAACAAUGUUUUGAGUUAGGUGUCAGAAGGAGUAUAGCUUGGAAUAGCAAACUGUCAUAUGGAGCAAAGCUACUUUGGAUAUUUGUUGGAUCGGAUCCACAGAGAUCUUUAUAGGAGUGAGAAGUAAAUGUUGGUUUUUUUAUGUCAUCAGUGAGAUUUGAAGUUGCUGUGAUGUCACAUUGACUAAUAUAAAUGGAUAAGUUAUAUAUAAGAAUUCAAGGAUUGGUGGAUCAGUGCACAUAAUGGAGAGUUGAAUUGUUUAAAACUUGGUUACAGGGGUGAAUAGAUAUAAGGAAUAAUGUAAGGAUGGUGGAUGAAAUUUUCUGUAUAAUGUAAGCUUAUGUGGAUUUUAAAAUUACUGGAUGAAAGAAUGGAAGAUGGAGUAUUUUAAAAGACAGCUGGAAAAAUAAAUAUAAUGAACUAUUGCUUUAUUUAAUUGAGGGUAAAACUAUGGAUGAAUUAAUGCAAAAUUGGAUGACUGGAAAAAAUGGAUGGAAACUAGAAUAUUAAGUGGAUUGCUAGAUUCAAGAAUCAAGAACUAAUGUUUUGAAAAAAAAUGGUGGCAGUAUUUAUAGAUUGGUUGAUUUGAUGUUCAGUGAAGGCAUAGUUGAUAAGAUACCUAGAUGUUAGAAUUUGAGUGGAUUCCAGAAAAAAAUGUUGGAUGCAUGCAUAAUAUACUGAUAAAUUAGAUGUUUAGAUUAAUAGGUACAAAUUCGACUGGCAGUUAGAGUAAUGGAUAAAGGUAGGGAUCAAUGCAUGUAUAAAUGGUUUCCAUAAGUGUGAUUCAUUGUUGCUUUCAGAGUGGCUUAAUAGAUAUAUUGACGCAUAGAUAGUUUGAUUCAAAAAGGGAUAGUGCAGGAAUUUUAUCAUUGAAAUAAUAGACUAAUAUAAUCAAAUGACAUAUGUAAAGUUGAAUGAAAAAAGUGAGGGACUUGCAAUAUAGGCUAAUUUGUUAUUUAUAAAAUUAGAAAAAUUUACUGAUUGCUGUCUCAAAGUGUUGUGAUAGUAAAUUUAAAAGUGCAAAUCAAAUGAAGGAAACCAAAACCCAGGUGAUGGGAGAUUAUGAAAGUAGUUUUCUAUGGUACUGUUGUGUAUCUUAAUAAUUUGGGGACUCCUAGGAGGUUGAUCAAAGAGUCAGCUUUACCUUCAGUGUUUUAUGUUUGUCAUGGUAUAUAUGCCAUUUUUCCCAUAUUCUCCACAGUUUUAAAUGAUGUGUUACCAGCUUAAGAAGUGAGACAUUUUAGCUGCUUCAUUACCCGACAUUUCUGUAUCAAUCCAAAUUGUUGCACUUAUUUAUCAUUUCUGUGGACUUCGUUCUUCAAAAGUGGUGAACAUUUGUACAAGAAGAUCAUAGAUAUCUUCUGCGGUGGUACCACCCGCAGCAUCACACAGUUCCUGUCAUUAUUUUCCCUUUUCGAAGCUCAUUGCAUCUUUAUAUCUCAAAAGGCAUACAUUUUAUAAAAUGUACCAGCAGGUCUGCUUUCUGGCAAGUAAUUGCCUAGAAUGUUAAGUACUUCUUUGUUCUCUGAAUAUAUCUUACACUUUUCCUCUAUUGUUAUUUGCCUCAUUUGAUUUUUUUUCUCUGUGUUUUACUUUAUAAGCCAGAAUUAUAUUUGUAUGGUAAAUGUGAUUAAUGCAAUCCCAUGGACACUUUGGUCAUACCACAGAUUAUAACUGGGCUUUCCCACAUGCCAGUUUGGAUAGUAUUUGUAAAAUACUUUGUUCCUCAUUGGAAUCAUGCGCCCACAGUUUUUUUUUUAAUAAUAAAUUUAUUUUUUAUUGGUGUUCAAUUUGCCAACAUACAGAAUAACACCCAGUGCUCAUCCCAUCAAGUGGCCCCCUCAGUGCCUGCCACCCAGUCACCCCCCCUGCCCUCCUCCCCUUCCACCACCCCUUGUUGGUUUCCCAGAGUUAGGAGUCUUCCAUGUUCUGUCUCCCUUUCUGAUAUUUCCUACAGUUUUUAGAGCAGUCUCAAACAAAAUCCUCUUAGAACAUUUGUGUUACAUGAAAAUAGACCACCUAUAGUUUUCCUUUUUGUUGAACCUAAUAGAUCUCCCUCUAGAACAGGAUCUCAGCAUGACCAUAUAUGAUGUCUCCCUUAGUGCCCCAAUUUAAGACUCAGAUACUAUCACAAUUCAGUUGUGUAAAGAAAAGCCAGACUCUUGCACUGACAUUUUUGGCCAUGGUGAUGCUAUCCGGUAGAACACGUGGUUCUGUCAUUUUACUGCUAUCACUGGAAUUGGACCAAAAAACCCAAACAACAAAGAUUUCAUUUUCAUUCACAUUAUUCUGAUUUUCAUUUGUUUUCUGUUUAGCCUAAAGGGGCUAAAUUUAGAUGGCUAAAUUUAUCAGAAGUUUUAAUUGACUACUUCUGGAACAUAAACCACACUGUCAUCAGAGAACUGGUAAUAGCAUGCUCAACCUCUCUCAUCAGUACACAAGUUUGACCACUAGUACAUUGAAUUAGGGCCAUAAGGAAUGAAUGGAUUAUUAAACAAUUUUCAGCAAAAUGUGGUAAUUCAUCUUCCAGCUUUCAUUCCUAUUUCCUAGGUUUGUCAAGAGUGAAUCAGUUGUGCUAGCGUUUCUAACAUUCUAAGCUUAUUUAAGUUUAUCUGGAAUUUAUUUUAUAAAUGUGACAUCAUUAUGGUUUUACAACUAUAUUUUUUCUUUAAUAUAUUGUGGACAUAUUUCUAAACCAGUAAAUAUGGCUUACAUACAAACUUUUCAUUGGAUGUAAAAUACAAUCAUAAUGAGUUUAUCCAUUUAUUUAUCUUGAGAAAUGCAGAUUAAAUGUUUAUUUUUGCUGCUGCAUAAAAUUGUAAUAUAAUUAUAUUUCAUAUUACAUCUGCAUACUUUUGAUUUCAGUAGAUAUUGUGAAAUUGCCAGCAUACCGGUAAUGGCAGUGCUAAUUUUCAUAAAAGCUUGUACAGGGUACAUAUUAUCAAGCCUUUAAAUUUUUAAGCAAUCUAAUAGGUGAAAACCAUAUAUUUUACUUACGUAUAAUUUAAGCAGUAAAUGGCCACAGGUAAAAAAACAAAACACCACCACCACCACCAACAACAACAAAA
rnacentral:lncRNA from 1 species